rnacentral:rRNA from 1 species
UACGAAGGUGGCAAGCGUUGUUCGGAUUUACUGGGCGUACAGGGAGCGUAGGCGGUUGGAUAAGCCCUCCGUGAAAUCUCCAGGCUUAACCUGGAAAGUGCAGAGGGGACUGUUCAGCUAGAGGAUGGGAGAGGAGCGCGGAAUUCCCGGUGUAGCGGUGAAAUGCGUAGAGAUCGGGAGGAAGGCCGGUGGCGAAGGCGGCCUGCUGGGCAGUUGCUGACACUGAGGCGCGACAGCGUGGGGAGCAAACAGG